AGAGUACUCUCUACAUUUACAUCAAUUAAUUGUUUGGAUAACAUCCACUAUAAAUUAUGGUAUAAUAUGUGUUAGUGAAUCUCUGCAGAACAUAUACAUUUGCAAGAUGUGCCAUUUAUUAAAGACUCACUUUAUACAUUUUAUGGUUAACAGAAUGUGCAGUAAAUCCAGCUGACAGAGUGGACUGUGGAUACAGAGGGAUUACCCAGGCAGAUUGUGAAGGAAAAUACUGCUGCUUCGAUUCUACUAUCCCUCAAACUAAAUGGUGCUUCUAUAAACCGGCAGAAGCUCCAGCUAGGAAAGCAGAAUGUACAGUGGACCCCAGCUUGAGAAUUGACUGUGGAAACCCAGGGAUUACAGACAAAGACUGCAGGGUGAAGGGUUGCUGUUAUGAUGAAAGUAUUCCUGAAGUUAUAUGGUGCUUCCAAAAAGCAGUUCCGAGUUAGUUAAAUAUGAAAGCAACACAGGCACCUUAAUUGAUGGAAUACACAGAGAUAUCAUCAGAUCACAGAAAUUUACAAGUUUUGAUUUCAAAUGGAAUAUGUAAUCAAGGAUGUGUGUUGAUUAACUCCCAAUAAAAUAGUUCUGCAUA